rnacentral:rRNA from 1 species
CGCGUAAAUAAUCUACCCUGGUGUUUGGGAUAACCAGCCGAAAGGCUGACUAAUACCGGAUAUCUGUAAGGUUGUUGGACCUUACAUGAAAGAUGGCCUCUUCUUGAAAGCUAUCGCACCUGGAUGAGUUUGCGUACCAUUAGCUAGUUGGUGGGAUAAAGGCUUACCAAGGCAACGAUGGUUAGCGGGUCUGAGAGGAUGAUCCGUCACACUGGCACUGGAACACGGGCCAG